UACGUAGGGUGCAAGCGUUAAUCGGAAUUACUGGGCGUAAAGCGUGCGCAGGCGGUUAUGCAAGACAGAGGUGAAAUCCCCGGGCUCAACCUGGGAACUGCCUUUGUGACUGCAUGGCUAGAGUACGGUAGAGGGGGAUGGAAUUCCGCGUGUAGCAGUGAAAUGCGUAGAUAUGCGGAGGAACACCGAUGGCGAAGGCAAUCCCCUGGACCUGUACUGACGCUCAUGCACGAAAGCGUGGGGAGCAAACAGGAUUAGAUACCCUGGUAGUCAAGGGCG
rnacentral:rRNA from 1 species